rnacentral:tRNA from 1 species
GCCUCUGUAGCUCAGUUGGUUCGAGCACUGCACCGGAAUUACAGAGCCGCAGGUUGGAUUCCUGCCAGAGGGCA